CCACUUAAACGUGAAUGUUCUUGCUUUGAAGCUAAACAAGAAAGUACUUUCAUAUUUCAGAGAUGG
rnacentral:pre_miRNA from 12 species